AUUGAACGCUGGCGGCAGGCCUAACACAUGCAAGUCGAGCGAGCGGCGGACGGGUGAGUAAUGUCUGGGAAACUGCCUGAUGGAGGGGGAUAACUACUGGAAACGGUAGCUAAUACCGCAUACCAUCAGAUGUGCCCAGAUGGGAUGGGCUAGUAGGGGGGGUAACGGCUCACCUAGGCGAAGAUCCCUAGCUGGUCUGAGAGGAUGACCAGCAACACUUGAACUGAGAGACGGUCCAGACUCCUACGGGAGGCAGCAGUGGGGAAUAUUGCACUAUGGGCGCAAGCCUGAGGCAGCAAUGCCGCGUGUGUGAAGAGGGCCUUCGGGUUGUAAAGCACUUUCAGCGGGGAGGCGUUACCCGAAGAAGAAGCACCGGCUAACUCCGUGCCAGCAGCCGCGGUAAUUC
rnacentral:rRNA from 1 species